GUUAAUAGAGGCAACGCUAAAGUACAUUAUUAGUAUUUAUAUUUUUUACAUUUCGAUAAAUAUUAAUUAAUAAGAUCAGUACACAGAAUUACAUCUGUCAUGUCGAUGAGGUGUAGCGACAAUGAAUAUGUUCUGUGGCCACAAUUUCCGAGGUGGAAAUGCAAGAGAAGAGAGCUUCUGCCCAAACAUUUACUUUCCAUGCAAAGUGACGAUUUAAUAGAUCAUAUUUAUUUGAAAUCACAAAUAAAGUAUUACACACGUAUUUCAAAUUCGCAUGCUUUCGCAUGCGUAUGUGGCCAUGGAGCAUGCGCAUGUUACUACAAAAUAUGCGCAUAUUGCCAAGGUGCAUGUCCACAUCGUUUCAUCUCGUCGGUGUCAUAUUAGCCGGUAUUCAUAAUCGGAUUAUAUAUUUAAAACCAUUUUAAAUACAGUACGUCAUAAGUCAAUCAAAGGGCCGCAUUAGCGACUUAAAGACAUUAUAUUUAAGAUGAUCUAAAAUUAGAACCUAUUAUGACUACUGUCCAUCAAAUUUCUUAACCUAAAUAGUCAACUUCAACGAUUCAUAUUUUGCUUCGCGCGACAGAGCGACAAUUAUUUUUGCCAAAUUAUUUCGUUUCGUGCAAAAAGUGAGUCUAAUUUCAUGUUGGAGAAGCAAUGGCAGCAAAUCCCAAUUUUAAAUUUAUACAAACUAUUCAAGGAGGCCAUUACCGAAGCAUUGAGGUCAAAGUAACGAUUCCAAAAUCAACAAGAUGUGCUGCAUGUUGAAAAUAAUG